GCAGUGUUGAUUCAGUGGUAGGAUUCUUACCUUCCACGUAGGAGACCUGGGUUCCAUUCCUGGCCAAUGGA
rfam:Loxodonta africana unplaced genomic scaffold scaffold_10, whole genome shotgun sequence.